rnacentral:misc_RNA from 1 species
GAUGAAGAACUCAGCGAAAUGCGAUAAGUAAUGUGAAUUGCAGAAUUCAGUGAAUCAUCGAAUCUUUGAACGCACAUUGCGCCCCCUGGUAUUCCGGGGGGCAUGCCUGUUCGAGCGUCAUUUCACCACUCAAGCCUCGCUUGGUAUUGGGCAACGCGGUCCGCCGCGUGCCUCAAAUCGACCGGCUGGGUCUUCUGUCCCCUAAGCGUUGUGGAAACUAUUCGCUAAAGGGUGUUCGGGAGGCUACGCCGUAAAACAACCCCAUUUCUAAGGUUGACCUCGGAUCAGGUAGGGAUACCCGCUGAACUUAAGCAUAUCAAUAAGCGGAGGA